rnacentral:rRNA from 1 species
AUUGAACGCUGGCGGCGUGCCUAAUACAUGCAAGUCGAACGCAGUGGGGACGGGUGAGUAACACGUGGGUAACCUCCCAUCAGAGGGGAUAACCCUUGGAAACAGGUGCUAAACCGAUACUGAUGGAUGGACCCGCGGUGCAUUAGCUAGUUGGGGAGGUAACGGCUCACCAAGGGCACGAGGCAUAGCCGACCUGCGCGGGUGAUAGGCCACACUGGGACUGAGACACGGCCCAGACGCCUACGGUAGGCAGCAGUGGGGAAUCUUCGGCAAUGGACGAAAGUCUGACCGAGCAACGCCGCGUGAGUGAAGAAGGUUUUCGGAUCGUAAAACUCUGUUGUUAGAGAAGCGGUAUCUAACCAGAAAGCCACGGCUAACUACGUGCCAGCAGCCGCGGUAAUAC